CAACACUGGGACUGAGACACGGCCCAGACUCUUACGGGAGGCAGCAGUGGGGAAUCUUAGACAAUGGGCGCAAGCCUGAUCUAGCGAUGCCGCGUGAGUGACGAAGGUCUUAGGAUCGUAAAGCUCUUUCGCCAGGGAUGAUAAUGACAGUACCUGGUAAAGAAACCCCGGCUAACUCCGUGCCAGCAGCCGCGGUAAUACGGAGGGGGUUAGCGUUGUUCGGAAUUACUGGGCGUAAAGCGCACGUAGGCGGAUUAUUAAGUUAGAGGUGAAAUCCCGGGGCUCAACCCCGGAACUGCCUUUAAUACUCGUAGUCUAGAGUUCGAGAGAGGUAAGUGGAAUUCCGAGUGUAGAGGUGAAAUUCGUAGAUAUUCGGAGGAACACCAGUGGCGAAGGCGGCCCACUGGCUCGAUACUGACGCUGAGGUGCGAAAGUGUGGGGAGCAAACAGGAUUAGAUACCCUGGUAGUCCACACCGUAAACGAUGAA
rnacentral:rRNA from 1 species